AAGGCAUCUUUUUAUUUUUAAAAGACCUAGCAAUAGGUAUGCUUAGGGAAGAGCUUGCGUCACAUUAGUUAGUUGGUGGGGUAAUGGCCUACCAAGACGAUGAUGUGUAGCCGGGCUGAGAGGUCGAACGGCCACAUUGGGACUGAGACACGGCCCAAACUCCUACGGGAGGCAGCAGUAAGGAAUUUUCGGCAAUGGAGGAAACUCUGACCGAGCAAUGCCGCGUGAACGAUGAAGUAUUUCGGUACGUAAAGUUCUUUUAUUAGGGAAGAAAAGAUGGUGGAAAAACCAUUAUGACGGUACCUAAUGAAUAAGCCCCGGCUAACUAUGUGCCAGCAGCCGCGGUAAUACAUAGGGGGCAAGCGUUAUCCGGAAUUAUUGGGCGUAAAGGGUGCGUAGGCGGUUAAAUAAGUUUAUGGUCUAAGUGCAACGCUCAACGUUGUGAUGCUAUAAAAACUGUUUAGCUAGAGUUGGAUAGAGGCAAGUGGAAUUCCGUGUGUAGUGGUAAAAUGCGUAAAUAUACGGAGGAACACCAGAAGCGAAGGCGGCUUGCUGGGUCUUAACUGACGCUGAGGCACGAAAGCGUGGGGAGCAAACAGGAUUAGAUACCCUGGUAGUCCACGCCCUAAACGAUGAGUACUAAACGUUGGAUAAAACCAGUGUUGAAGUUAACACAUUAAGUACUCCGCCUGAGUAGUACGUACGCAAGUAUGAAACUUAAAGGAAUUGACGGGACUCCGCACAAGCGGUGGAUCAUGUUGUUUAAUUCGAAGGUACCCGAAAAACCUCACCAGGUCUUGACAUGCUUUUGCAAAGCUGUAGAAAUACAGUGGAGGUUAUCAGAAGCACAGGUGGUGCAUGGUUGUCGUCAGCUCGUGUCGUGAGAUGUUGGGUUAAGUCCCGCAACGAGCGCAACCCUUGUUGUUAAUUGCCAUCAUUAAGUUGGGGACUUUAGCAAGACUGCCAAUGAUAAAUUGGAGGAAGGUGGGG
rnacentral:rRNA from 1 species